GUGGGGAAUAUUGGACAAUGGGGGGAACCCUGAUCCAGCCAUGCCGCGUGUGUGAAGAAGGCCUUAUGGUCGUAAAGCACUCUAAGCGAGGAGGAGGCUACCGAGAUUAAUACUCUUGGAUAGUGGACGUUACUCGCAGAAUAAGCACCGGCUAACUCUGCGCCAGCAGCCGCGGUAAUACAGAGGGUGCAAGCGUUAAUCGGAUUUACUGGGCGUAAAGCGCGCGUAGGUGGCCAAUUAAGUCAAAUGUGAAAUCCCCGAGCUUAACUUGGGAAUUGCAUUCGAUACUGGUUGGCUAGAGUAUGGGAGAGGAUGGUAGAAUUCCAGGUGUAUCGGUGAAAUGCGUAGAGAUCUGGAGGAAUACCGAUGGCGAAGGCAGCCAUCUGGCCUAAUACUGACACUGAGGUGCGAAAGCAUGGGGAGCAAACAGGAUUAGAUACCCUGGUAGUCC
rnacentral:rRNA from 1 species